rnacentral:snRNA from 1 species
ACAUGAAAAUCUAAACCAGAAAG